GCCCGGAGGCUGGGAGAGAAGAGGGAAGCGUCCGAGAACGCAGCUGGGAACCGAACGGCAGGGCGCGCACCGGCCGGUGAUCACGUGGCGCGUGGCGCGCGGACUUCUGGGAGAUGUAGUCCUUCAGGGAUCCCCACUGGCCAGACCCAACAGAACGCAGAGGCCAUGGAAAGUCUGUCGGUAGAGUCCAUGUAGCUUUCUUGGGCAGCAAAGUAGGUGAAAGGAGCAGAGAUUUGGAGAGGCAAGUGGAAGGCGUGCGGCACACUCCUCCUGAUGUGGGUUGGGGCAGAAUACCUGAAACCUACUGAUUUCUACGAAAUGAAGACCAGGUGAGUCACUGACUUGCUCACACGUAGAGUGUAACAGAGCCUCGGUUAGGACCCAGGACUUCAAUGGGGACCCAAAGGCAGAAGACUCUUCCAACCACUCCCUGCCUCAGAGGGAAUAAGUAAAUAUGAUAUAAAGAUAUGGUUCAUCACCCCUGAACACUGUAAGUCCCUAAAGUGAAGCAUCCCAGAGUGAAAGGCCAUAUAGAGGCCCAGACCAGCAAAGAACUGUGCAGUCAUGUCACUGUUGUUGAAAACCACUAAGUUUUGGAGUGUCGUCUUAUGCAACAAUAAAUAACUGAUACAAUCUACUUUAAA